rnacentral:rRNA from 1 species
GAGAGUUAAACAGUACGUGAAAUUGUUGAAAGGGAAACGAUUGAAGUCAGUCAUACCAACGGGAAAUCAACCUCUUGAGUUUGGUCUCGUGGGUUUCGAAGAGUUUAAAAGCCUUCGGAUUUUCGAGAUUGGGCUCUUCUGGUGUACUUUCUCGUACGGUUAGUCAACAUCGGUUUUGAAUGUCAUAAAAUGACUGGAGGAAUGUGGCUUCGAUCUCGUAUUGAAGUGUUAUAGCCUUUGGUAGAUGUGAUGUUCGAGACCGAGGAUUGCAACGGAUACCCUUCUGGGCUAUUCGUCUGAUCUCUGAAACGUUGCCUUGAUGUCGAAAGCUUGCUUAUGAUGUUAGGGUAUUACGGUCAAAAGGUUAGAACGGAUUAAAUUCGUUAAGGAUGUUGACGUAAUGACUUUAAACGA